AUUGAACGCUGGCGGCAUGCCUUACACAUGCAAGUCGAACGGCAGCACGGGAGCAAUCCUGGUGGCGAGUGGCGAACGGGUGAGUAAUAUAUCGGAACGUGCCCAGUCGUGGGGGAUAACGUAGCGAAAGCUACGCUAAUACCGCAUACGAUCUAUGGAUGAAAGCGGGGGAUCGCAAGACCUCGCGCGAUUGGAGCGGCCGAUAUCAGAUUAGGUAGUUGGUGGGGUAAAGGCUCACCAAGCCGACGAUCUGUAGCUGGGCUGAGAGGACGAACAGCCACACUGGGACUGAGACACGGCCCAGACUCCUACGGGAGGCAGCAGUGGGGAAUUUUGGACAAUGGGCGCAAGCCUGAUCCAGCAAUGCCGCGUGCAGGAUGAAGGCCUUCGGGUUGUAAACUGCUUUUGUACGGAGCGAAAAGGCUUCCACUAAUACUGGGGGCUCAUGACGGUACCGUAAGAAUAAGCACCGGCUAACUACGUGCCAGCAGCCGCCGUAACAC
rnacentral:rRNA from 1 species